UGCGUAGGGGGCGAGCGUUGUCCGGAAUCAUUGGGCGUAAAGAGCGUGUAGGUGGCUUGGAAAGUCUUACGUGAAAGCCUGCGGCUCAACCGCAGAAGUGCGUGGGAAACUUCCUCGCUAGAGUCCGGAAGAGGAGAGCGGAAUUCCUGGUGUAGCGGUGGAAUGCGCAGAUAUCAGGAAGAACACCCGUGGCGAAGGCGGCUCUCUGGGACGGUACUGACGCUGAGACGCGAAAGCGUGGGGAGCGAACAGG
rnacentral:rRNA from 1 species